GAGGGUAGAGCUCAGAGGUAGAGCACGUGCUUAGCAGGCACAAAGUCCUGGUUUCUAUCCCUAGUGCCUCCA
rnacentral:tRNA from 1 species